ACCUACAUUAGGUAUAAAAUUGGAACGAUACAGAGAAGAUUAGCACGGCCCGUGUGCUUUUCAAAGGAAACAAUUUUUU
ensembl:snRNA U6 U6 spliceosomal RNA